rnacentral:pre_miRNA from 1 species
AGUGGAAGGGGCAUGCAGAGGAGCAGGAGAUUCAGUUUGAAGCUGGACUUCACUUUUGCCUCUCUCUCCUGUGCUUGCCUCUUCCAUU